UGAGUAACCUGCCCUUAACUCUCGGAUAAGCCUGGGAAACUGGGUUUAAUACCGGAUAUGACUCCUCAUCGCAUGGUGGGGGGUGGAAAGCUUUAUUGUGGUUUUGGAUGGACUCGCGGCCUAUCAGCUUGUUGGUGAGGUAAUGGCUUACCAAGGCGACGACGGGUAGCCGGCCUGAGAGGGUGACCGGCCACACUGGGACUGAGACACGGCCCAGACUCCUACGGGAGGCAG
rnacentral:rRNA from 1 species